AAAAAACAAAUUUUAAGUCAUUAAAAGACAAAAUUUAACUUACCAAAAAAGGAAAAAGAGUGUGUAAAUUUCAAUAUGAGGUGUGUGGAUUUCACAACCCUUUUUUAUUCUCCGAGCCAUGUGGUAUGAUUUUUUUAUUUUAUUUUUAGUUUUGAAUUUCGGAUUUGGCAGAAUUUGAGAAAUUGAAACGAAUUUUCCACCGAACAGCUCUUCUCUAAUUGGAAAUAGAUCUGGUGAACCGAGAAGAUGUUGUUGAAAGGUUGGUUCGUUGAUCUCCGAUGAGUCUAAAAUGGAAGAGGAAGAAUGGUUUAGCUUCGUCUUUGGUACUGACACAAAGAAGUGGAAUGUUUUCUUUGUCGGGGCAUAGGUUGGGCGGAGAGCUUCUGCUUAGUUUGGGUCUUAGUGAUUUAGAAAUGUUGUCGAUGUCUAUGGGGGUACGUGAUGACAGUAGAUGGAUGAAUGCGUAGACCUGUAGAAUUGGAUGAGCCUCAAUCUUCAUGUAAUAACAGAAACUUGAAAAACAUGAGUGCAGUAGCAUAACUAUAACGAGAGUAUAGCGAGUGUAGUAGCAAAGAAAAAAAAAAAACCUAGUAUGAGUGCUCUACAAUAACAGAGACCAUGACAAGUAAUGUAGUAGAACCGAACAAGGGUGCAAUUGUAGAAUUCAUAAAUGAAUUUCCCUAUCAAUAGUAGUAGUCAUAAAUAAAUUUUUCUAUCAAUAUUGCACUUACUGAAGCUGUUAACCACACAAAACCUGCUAUUAUUGCACGUACUGAAAAUAGUUACUGCUACAUUAACUGAGCAACUAAAAACCUGCUACUACAUUUGUUAGAAGUGUAGUAGCAGCUGUCUUUCUAGCAAAAUAUGUUACUACAUUAGCUGCGCCACUGAAAACCUGCUACUGCAAUUGUUGAAGCUGCUACUUCACUAGCUGAACCACUAAAAAUACUACACGUUCCUGCUACUACUGCACAUACUGAAAAUAGCUGCUGCUACAUUAACUGAGCCACUAAAAACCUGCUACUACAUUUGUUAGAAGUGUAGUAGCAGCUGUCUUUCUAGCAAAAUAUGUUACUACAUUAGCUGCGCUACUGAAAACCUGCUACUGCAAUUGUUGAAGCUGCUACUUCGCUAGCUGAACCACUAAAAAUCUACUACUACAUUUAUUGGAAGUGUAGUAGCAACAAUAUUCCAACUAGUGCAGUAGCAACUACUAAAGUAAUACAUGGUGGGGUUUGAUUUAUUUCUUUUUACUUUUUAAGGUAUGGUUGUGGUAAACACACCCCAUUUUACUAUUAAGAUAGAAAUUUUGGCCUUCUCUUUUUGGACUCAAUUAUUUAUUUAUUCGUGUUUAAGGAAAUUAUGUUUCGUUCUUCUGUUAUAUGUUUUGUCCUAAAUUCUAAUACACGUACGAUUGGUUAAUCUAUUUCAUUAUUAGAAUAGGUUACAGUAUUGAUAGAACUUCUAAAUUUUUCUGGAGACUCUAUGUAAUGUCUAUAUAUAGGUCUUUCUAUUAAUAAAUGAGUAGACCAUUAUUAUCGUUAUAUGCUAUCCUUCAACAAUUUGUUAAUUAUUUAGGUUCCCGCUUGACUCGUCAUUGGUUUGAUUGUUUUCU
rnacentral:lncRNA from 1 species